rnacentral:tRNA from 1 species
GGUAGGAUGGCCGAGUAUAUAGGCGGUGGGUUGUAGCCCCGAAGACAGAGGUUUAAUUCCUCUUCCUACCA